AAUGAACGUUGGCGGCGUGGAUUAGGUAUGCAAGUCGUGCGAGAAUCCCCCUUUGGGGGGAGGAAAGCGGCGAAAGGGAGAGUAACGCGUGGAUACCUACCUUCAGGUUCGGGAUAGCUGCGGGAAACUGCAGGUAAUACCGAAUAACAUCUCCGGAUCAAAGGUGUGAUUCCGCCUGAAGACGGGUCCGCGUCCUAUUAGCUAGUUGGUGGGGUAACGGCCUACCAAGGCGACGAUGGGUACGGGGCGUGAGAGCGCAACCCCGCUCACUGGGACUGAGGCACUGCCCAGACACCUACGGGUGGCUGCAGUCGAGGAUCUUCGGCAAUGGACGCAAGUCUGACCGAGCGACGCCGCGUGCGGGAUGAAGGCCUUCGGGUUGUAAACCGCUGUCAGUUGGGAGGAAAUCACAUGGGGUUCUCUCCAUGUGUUGACCUAUCUUCAGAGGAAGGACGGGCUAAGUUCGUGCCAGCAGCCGCAGUAA
rnacentral:rRNA from 1 species